GGCUAUGGCCAUACCACCCUAAACAUGCUGACUCCUGUCUGAUCUUGGCUGCUAAGCAGGGUGGGGCCGGGUUAGUACUUGGAUGGGAGAAACAGAGACAGAGAGAUCUCCUAUCUC
rnacentral:rRNA from 1 species